GUGUCGGAGGCUUGACCUUCGGUGCCGUAGUUAACGCGUUAAGUACCCCGCCUGGGGAGUACGGUCGCAAGGCUGAAACUCAAAGAAAUUGACGGGGGCCCGCACAAGCGGUGGAGUAUGUGGUUUAAUUCGAUGCAACGCGAAGAACCUUACCCAGGCUUGACAUCCUGCGAAUGCCCAAGAAAUUAGGCAGUGCCCUUCGGGGAAUGCAGUGACAGGUGCUGCAUGGCUGUCGUCAGCUCGUGCUGUGAGGUGUUGGGUUAAGUCCCGCAACGAGCGCAACCCCUAUCCUUAGUUGCCACCAGGUAAUGCUGAGCACUCUAAGGAGACUGCCCGGGUUAACCGGGAGGAAGGUGGGGACGACGUCAAGUCAUCAUGGCCCUUACGCCUGGGGCUACACACGUACUACAAUGGUGCAUACAAAGGGUUGCGAUACCGUGAGGUGGAGCUAAUCCCAGAAAGUGCAUCCCAGUCCGGAUAGGAGUCUGCAACUCGACUCCUUGAAGUCGGAAUCGCUAGUAAUCCCGGAUCAGCAUGCCGGGGUGAAUGCGUUCCCGGGCCUUGUACACACCGCCCGUCACACCACGAAAGUUGGUUCUACCCGAAACCAGUGAGCUAACCGGCAACGGAGGCAGCUGUCUACGGUGGGGCUGAUGAUUGGGGUGAAGUCGUAACAAGGUAGCCGUAGGGGAACCUGCGGCUGGAUCACCUCCUU
rnacentral:rRNA from 1 species